UGGGGAAUAUUGCGCAAUGGGGGCAACCCUGACGCAGCAACGCCGCGUGCGGGACGACGGCCUUCGGGUUGUAAACCGCUUUCAGCAGGGAAGAUAGUGACGGUACCUGCACAAGAAGCCCCGGCUAACUACGUGCCAGCAGCCGCGGUAAUACGUAGGGGGCGAGCGUUAUCCGGAUUCAUUGGGCGUAAAGCGCGCGCAGGCGGCUCUUCAAGCGGAACCUCUAACCCCGGGGCUCAACCUCGGGCCGGGUUCCGAACUGGAGGGCUCGAGUGCGGUAGAGGCGGGCGGAAUUCCCGGUGUAGCGGUGGAAUGCGCAGAUAUCGGGAAGAACACCGAUGGCGAAGGCAGCCUGCUGGGCCGGCACUGACGCUGAGGCGCGAAAGCUAGGGGAGCGAACAGG
rnacentral:rRNA from 1 species